rnacentral:lncRNA from 1 species
UUUGGUUCUCACUCAAGAAAAUAUUUCUUUAUUUGGCUUAAAAAGGAAUACAUAUAUUUCUCUAUUUAAUCUCGUAUUCUACGAAAAUUCUUUUCUCUCACAUCAAAAACUAGAUUUUGAAGAUGGCGAAAAAAGUGGAGGUGAUUUCUUCAUCUCUUGUCCGCGGCACUGCUACGGCUGCUUCAAUGUCAAGAUUAGAGCUUAAUCCAUGGGAUUUACGAUUCCUCUCAUUCGUCCCCAGUGAAAGAGGCCUCAUAUUCCACAGCCCUCACUUUCAAUCCAAGCAAAACCUAAUCCAACACCUCAAAAACUCCCUCUCCCGCGCUCUCGACUUCUUCCCUCCCCUCGCCGGCCGCCUCGCCGCCACCAGUCACGGCGGCGACACGGCGAGCUUCUUCGUGGACUGCAACAACGCAGGAGCCGAGUUCACUCAUGCAGUCGCCGCCGCCGUCUCCAUCUCCGACAUCAUUGAGCCGAGGUAUAUACCGGAAAUCGUAUCCUCCUUGUUCCCGAUCAACAUCGGCGUCACCAAUUACGAAGGAAUUUCAAAACCUCUGUUGGCGGUGCAAGUCACGGAGCUCGCCGACGGCGUCUGCAUCGGCUGCGCCGCCAAUCACGCCGUCGUGGACGGCACCUCCUUCUGGCAUUUCUUCAGUUCCUGGUCGGAGAUCUCCCGCGGUUUGAAAUCGAUUUUGAAAUCCCCAAUUUUCGACCGCGCCGCCAUUGAUAACAGACUCAUCCAUAUCCCUACAUUAGAGAAAAACCUAAUCGCUCCAUCUCAAUUGCCGCAGAAGGUAUUCCACUUCAGCAAGGAAAAAUUAGGUCAAUUGAAGGCUAAAGCCAAUUCCGAGGCCGGCACUGACAAAAUAUCUACUCUGCAAGCACUCAUGGCUCAUCUAUGGCGGAGCGCAGUUAGCUCUCAGACCACCAACGAUUCAACCACUCGCGUUAUACUAUUCGCCGUCGGUGCAAGAGCGAGGAUGUCGUCUUUGCCGGAUGCCUAUUUCGGGAACGCAUCUUACCUUGCUGUGUUGGUGAUUAGCGAGAGCGAUCUAUUGCAGAGAGGAUUGGGCGCCGCCGCGCUCAGGAUCAACGACCUGAUUUCUCGGCAAACCGACGAAGCGGCGGUGCGCGACUUGGCGAAGAAGGUGGAAUUUCUCGCGUCUGACGGGAGUGGCGCUCCGCCGCCUCUUAUCAUCGGGAGUUCUCCGCGACUCGACGUGUACGGGUGCGAUUUUGGGUGGGGGAAGCCAAUUGGUGUGAGGAGUGGGAAGAUGCAGAAAAUGGAGGGGUUGGUGUUAGUUUUUCCGGCGGCGGAGGGCGGCGGUAUCGACGUAGAAGUUUGCUUGGCGGAGGAGACAUUAGAUGCAAUGGAGUGUAUGAUGCGUUAAUAUAUGGGUUUUUGUAUUAUUCGUGUUUCAUGGUUGAAUCUUGAAUGAAGGAUCGUAUAAAAAAUAUAAUAAACUUAAUCCCUUAUUUAUUUUGAUGGAUCGUAACUUUGAGAUAUUUCAAGGCUCUUGAUUAUUUUUUUUAUUUAAGUUAGUUUUGUUUAAUUCUAAUCCGAUCAAAAUGGUGAAAUUAGAAUAAUUCUAUUUUUAAGGACAAAAAUACUCAAUUCUCUAUUUUAUCAAUCAUACUAAGUAAAUGUCCCCUUAGGGCUCGUUUGGUGCUCAGUAAGGAAUUAGUCAGUAUAGUUAGUAAACUAGAUUAUUAGCGUGAAUAAAUAUGUGUUACUAAUAUUGGUUGGUUGUUUGCUAUUAUGGUUAAUUAAUCAUGAUUUUUGUUUGGUAUCCAUAUUUCUAGAUUAGAUAAGUUUAAAAAUGGACACAAUUGAAGGGUCGUAUUAAUUAUCCUGCAUAAUCCGAGGGGAAGGCGGUAUUAAAAAUGGACACAAUUGCAUGACCUUUUGUGAAAGUUCGGAAUUAAUAUUUACCACUAAAAAUUGAAAUUAAAAAAAAUUAUAUAUCCUAACUAUGAAUUAAUUAAUCCAAAUAAUUCAUUAUUAAUUCAAAUAAAUAUAACAAAAAAAAAUUAUAAACCCUCAUUGUAUGAGCUAGUGAACCCUUGUUAAUUAAUUCAUCUGUCUCAAAUUUUGGUAUCUAUGGACUACAUUCUCAUUUUAAUUCGUCCCAUAUUUUGAUAUGUAAUAGUAAAAGAUUUAUUGAGAAUAUAUAAACAUUUAUAUAACAUAUAACGACAAUAAUAAUUAAAAAAAACAAAACAAAUUUGGAAACUUAAGGAUUUACAUUCAACAUACAUAGAUUACACAAAAAUGGACCACAAACAAAUUUGGAAACUUUAAGGAUUUAUUCAAGCAUUUACAUUCAACAUACAUGGAUUACCCAAAAAUGGACAACAAACAAAUUUGGAAACUUUAAGGAUUUAUUCAAGCAUUUACAUUCAACAUACAUAGAUUACACACAAAUGGACAACAAAAUUACAUUUUAUAGCUGUCCAACACAUUAUUAACUUUCCAACACAAUAAGCUUCACUCAAACCCUCUCUCUCUCUUCAAAUCUACAGCAAAAUGAAAAUCUAUUUCCAGCUAACAUCUAUUUAAUCUGUGUAUUCUACCAAAAAAAUUUCUCUCUCACACCCAACAUUAGAAUUUGAAGAUGGCAAAAAAAGUCGAGCUGAUUUCUUCAUCUCUUGUUCGCGCCACUGCAACUGCUGCUUCAAUCUCAAGAUUAGAGCUUACUCGAAGCGAUUUAUGGUUACUCACACACUUUCCCGUUCAAAGAGGCCUCAUAUUCCACAGCCCUCGCUUUCAAUCCCAUCAACACCUAAUCCAACACCUCAAAAACUCCCUCUCCCGCGCUCUCGACUUCUUCCCUCCCCUCGCCGGCCGCCUCGCCGCCGCCCCGUACGGCGGCGACACGGCCAGCUUCUCCGUGGACUGCAACAACGCCGGAGCCGAGUUCACUCACGCAGUCGCCGCCUCCGUCACCGUCUCCGACCUCCUCGGGCCGAGCUACACGGAAAUCGAUUCUUCCUUGUUCCCGAUCAACGUCGGCGUCCAUAAUUUCCAAGGAAUUCAAAGCCUCUAUUCGCGGUGCAAGUCACGGAGCUCGACGACGGCCUCUUCAUCGGCUGC